ACUUUAUCUUUUAGGUUCACGUACUGCAGAGGCACAUUCAAUAACGUACUACGGUGAGACAACAUUUUAUAAAAGAUGACGUCUAAAAAUCAAGAAAAGUAUCCAGCUCAGGAGCCAAGUAUGCUGCAGAAGGUUGUCGACAAAUUAGAAAAGGCAGGGGAUGUUGUGCAGAGCAAAUUAGAAGCUGCAGGCCAUUACCUUGAAAGUGAAUGGAACAAGCACAACUUUGGUCCCGUAUUGAACAACUUCGUAACCGGCUACAGAAUACAACUGGUAUCACGGGCCAGUCACCACACACUACAGAUUGUAGAGGGACCUUCGGGACAAUUAACUUUAGACGGAAAGGGAGAAAUUGGUGCACAUGCUUGGAAUGGUUUGUCAUACAGCAGCACUAGAAUAUCAAUGCCAACAAUUGAUAAAAAAAAUAUUAAUUCUUUAAUCUAAUGAUUUAUCAUCAGUUUCCUAAUUUACACGAAUACUAUUUUAUAGUAAAUGGAUUGACAUGAUAUGUAGGUGAUGAUUUGGUUUUUCAGCAAUAUGGACAGUGGUGAAUGAUGGAAACAACCAGGUCCAGUUGUAUAACAACAAUAACUUCCUUGCCAUCGUGAAUGGCGAACCAGUGGUCAUACAGGUGGAUGUUUUCCAGGGCAAUGGGGCGCAGAUAGGAGCAGAGACUAAGUUCCAGCUAGUGUUGAAUGGAGACUAUUUGGUAGCUUUGCAGUCCACUGUUGGUCCAGAUAGAUGCAUUGGUAUCAAUGAGGAUGGAUCUUUAAAGACCGCUCAAAUCUGUGCGUCGUCGAGUGUCAAUUCCUUGUUUGGAGUCCUUUUGAUUAAAAACCCUGAAAAUGCACAACUUGAAGAUAAAAAGUGAACUGUACAAUAUGAAACUUUGGUCAUUCGGCUCGAAAUCCAAGAGUAUUACUUGUACUUGUUGUAACCUUGCCUUACAUCGGAAAUGUAAAGCUUGUAUUGAGAACUUUUUUGCAUUUUACUUUUUUGUAUUUACCAUUGCAUCGCAAUAACGAAUUCCUGACAUACUAAUGAUUGCCAUUACCCUUUAUCAUCAUUUUGAUAAUCUGUGUAGAUGCAUGACAGUAACUGUGCCUUGGUAAAAUGCCAGGAUAUAAUAUGCGCAAUUUCACACAUUCCUUUUACAUUUUUUUAUAUUUUUUCUCUUGUGUCUUUAAAAAUGAAUAUAUCCAUCAAAUGUUUAAUAUUUCUCUAUAUUGUGUUAUUUUAUACAAAUAAAGAUUAAAACAC
rnacentral:misc_RNA from 1 species